CUGUAACCUACAAAUGACGUGCUGAGA
rnacentral:piRNA from 1 species